GAGAGAUUCAUCGUCAUUCCGCGGCGUACGGGCUGCGCGCUUCGAUGUCGUCGGCCUCGGUCGUCAGGCACGACGCGCGUCCGUCGACGUCCGCGGACGGCGUGCACUUCUCUCUUAGUAAAUACAUCGCGACCCGUUCGAUGUCGGUCUAAGCGCCGUUCGGGAGCCCCAUGGUCCCUUAACGGGGUCUGUGGGACCGCGACGGUGGCCGACCGGCCGUCGGACGGUAGUUCUGAGGAAACGCGCACGCGUUUACAACGCGUCCGGCCCGACGCAAGUCAACGUCGUAUCCAACGUACCGCCUCAGUGCGGACGUAGGUGCGGCGCGUCUGCUGUUGCCGCCGUGCAGUCUCGGAC
rnacentral:rRNA from 1 species